UCCUUGGUAUCUCAGCUGGUAAAGAAUCUGCCUGCAAUGCAGGAGACCCUGGUUCGAUUCAUGGGUCAGGAA
rnacentral:tRNA from 1 species